UACGUAGGGUCCAAGCGUUGUCCGGAUUUAUUGGGCGUAAAGAGCUCGUAGGCGGUUCCGUAAGUCGGAUGGGAAAACUCGGGGCUCAACCCCGAGACGCCAUCCGAUACUGCGGUGACUUGAGUCUGGUAGGGGAACACGGAAUUCCUGGUGUAGCGGUGAAAUGCGCAGAUAUCAGGAGGAACACCAAUGGCGAAGGCAGCUCGCUGGAACGGUACUGACGCUGAGGCGCGAAAGCGUGGGGAGCGAACAGG
rnacentral:rRNA from 1 species